GAGUCGCACAGUGAAGUGAACAUCAGGAUGAUGACACUUCAAACAGGACACACCAGGACGGUGCUUCAGGGAUAGGCCUCAGGAUGAGGUAAGUGGAUACGCCAGGAUGGUGUAACAAGGAUAGGCUUCAGGACGAGGCAAAAGGAUAACGCAGGACGCGUUAAAGGACACCUCCAGGAUGGAGAAUGAGAGCCAGACAGGAUGCCUGGUGGAGCAAGAAGUUCAGGACAUACUCAGGGAUUGGGUAGAUUCGCAUCGGGGUGGUGUGAGCAGGACGCAACAGUUUACGGAUGAACAGGCCGCAAGGCCGCAGGAAAAGUUGUCACGGACGAGCAGGGAGCACGAAAAGUAGCUGGAAUGCUGCGAAACGAACCGGGAGCACUGUUUAUACAGUGCUCCCUUUUUUUGUU
rnacentral:other from 1 species